rfam:Picea glauca, whole genome shotgun sequence.
AUGUACAUGCCUACAACAUAGCGUUAAUGCACCAGAUCCCCUUAGAACUCCGCAGUUAAGUGUGCUCUGGCUAGAGUAGUACUGGAAUGGGUGACCGCUCACGAAGUCCUAGUGUUUUACAUG